GACGAACGCUGGCGGCGUGCUUAACACAUGCAAGUCGAGCGGUAAGGCCCUUUCGGGGGUACACGAGCGGCGAACGGGUGAGUAACACGUGGGUGACCUGCCCUCAGCUCUGGGAUAAGCCCGGGAAACUGGGUCUAAUACUGGAUAUGACUCCAUGACGCAUGUUGUGGGGUGGAAAGCCUUGUGCGGCUGAGGAUGGGCCCGCGGCCUAUCAGCUUGUUGGUGGGGGAUGGCCUACCAAGGCGACGACGGGUAGCCGGCCUGAGAGGGCGACCGGCCACACUGGGACUGAGACACGGCCCAGACUCCUACGGGAGGCAGCAGUGGGGAAUCUUGCGCAAUGGGCGAAAGCCUGACGCAGCGACGCCGCGUGAGGGA
rnacentral:rRNA from 1 species